rnacentral:rRNA from 1 species
GCUCAGAACGAACGCUGGCGGCGCGUUUUAAGCAUGCAAGUCGAGCGGCAAGGGGGGCUUCGGCCCCCCCUAGAGCGGCGGACGGGUGAGUAACACGUGGACAAUCUGCCCCCCGGCCGGGGAUAGCCCAGGGAAACCUGGAUCAAUACCGGAUGCGAGGGCGGCCGCAUAUGCGGCUGUUCGGAAAGGCGCUUCGGCGCCGCCGGGGGAUGAGUCCGCGUCCCAUUAGCUAGACGGCGGGGUAAGGGCCCACCGUGGCGAUGAUGGGUAGCCGGCCUGAGAGGGUGUACGGCCACAUUGGAACUGAGACACGGUCCAGACUCCUACGGGAGGCAGCAGCUAAGAAUCUUCCGCAAUGGGCGAAAGCCUGACCCAGCAACGCCGCGUGAGGGAAGAAGGUUUUCGGAUUGUAAACCUCUGUCGCAGAAGACGAAGGAAGUGACGGUAAUCUGUGAGGAAGCCCCGGCUAACUACGUGCCAGCAGCCGCGGUAAUACGUAGGGGGCGAGCGUUGUCCGGAAUUACUGGGCGUAAAGGGAGCGUAGGCGGUUAAUUAAGUUAGAUGUGAAAUACCCGGGCUUAACUUGGGGGGUGCAUCUAAUACUGGUAAACUAGAGUACAGGAGAGGAAAGCGGAAUUCCUAGUGUAGCGGUGAAAUGCAUAGAUAUUAGGAGGAACAUCGGUGGCGAAGGCGGCUUUCUGGACUGACACUGACGCUGAGGCUCGAAAGCGUGGGGAGCAAACAGAAGGAGAUACCCUGGUAGUCCACGCUGUAAACGAAGAAUACUAGGUGUAGGGGGUAUGAACUCCCUCUGUGCCGCAGCAAACGCAAUAAGUAUUCCGCCUGGGGAGUACGGCCGCAAGGUUGAAACUCAAAGGAAUUGACGGGGGCCCGCACAAGCAGCGGAGCAUGUGGUUUAAUUUGACGCAACGCGAAGAACCUUACCAAGGCUUGACAUCCACUUAAAGUCAUAGAAAUAUGAUGUCCCUACGGGGGAAGUGAGACAGGUGGUGCAUGGUUGUCGUCAGCUCGUGUCGUGAGAUGUUGGGUUAAGUCCCGCAACGAGCGCAACCCCUGUUGCCAGUUGCCAGCAAGUAAAGUUGGGGACUCUGGUGAGACUGCCGGGGACAACUCGGAGGAAGGUGGGGAGGACGUCAAAUCAUCAUGCCCCUUAUGUCUUGGGCUACACACGUGCUACAAUGGCUGUAACAAAGGGAAGCGACCUUGAAAGAGGAAGCGGAUCUCAGAAAAGCAGUCCCAGUUCGGAUUGUGGGCUGCAACCCGCCCACACGAAGUCGGAGUUGCUAGUAAUCGCGGAUCAGCAUGCCGCGGUGAAAAAGGUCCCGGGCCUUGUACACACCGCCC